GUGGGGAAUCUUAGACAAUGGGGGAAACCCUGAUCUAGCCAUGCCGCGUGAGCGAUGAAGGCCUUAGGGUUGUAAAGCUCUUUCAGCUGGGAAGAUAAUGACGGUACCAGCAGAAGAAGCCCCGGCUAACUCCGUGCCAGCAGCCGCGGUAAUACGGAGGGGGCUAGCGUUGUUCGGAAUUACUGGGCGUAAAGCGCGCGUAGGCGGACCAGAAAGUUGGAGGUGAAAUCCCAUGGCUCAACCUUGGAACUGCCUUCAAAACUCCUGGUCUGGAGUUCGAGAGAGGUGAGUGGAAUUCCGAGUGUAGAGGUGAAAUUCGUAGAUAUUCGGAGGAACACCAGUGGCGAAGGCGGCUCACUGGCUCGAUACUGACGCUGAGGUGCGAAAGCGUGGCGAGCAAACCGGAUUAGAUACCCUUGUAGUCC
rnacentral:rRNA from 1 species